rnacentral:rRNA from 1 species
GAUGAUUUUAGUGCUUGCACUAAAUGAAACUAGAUACAAGCGAGCGGCGGACGGGUGAGUAACACGUGGGUAACCUGCCCAAGAGACUGGGAUAACACCUGGAAACAGAUGCUAAUACCGGAUAACAACACUAGACGCAUGUCUAGAGUUUGAAAGAUGGUUCUGCUAUCACUCUUGGAUGGACCUGCGGUGCAUUAGCUAGUUGGUAAGGUAACGGCUUACCAAGGCAAUGAUGCAUAGCCGAGUUGAGAGACUGAUCGGCCACAUUGGGACUGAGACACGGCCCAAACUCCUACGGGAGGCAGCAGUAGGGAAUCUUCCACAAUGGACGAAAGUCUGAUGGAGCAACGCCGCGUGAGUGAAGAAGGGUUUCGGCUCGUAAAGCUCUGUUGGUAGUGAAGAAAGAUAGAGGUAGUAACUGGCCUUUAUUUGACGGUAAUUACUUAGAAAGUCACGGCUAACUACGUGCCAGCAGCCGCGGUAAUACGUAGGUGGCAAGCGUUGUCCGGAUUUAUUGGGCGUAAAGCGAGUGCAGGCGGUUCAAUAAGUCUGAUGUGAAAGCCUUCGGCUCAACCGGAGAAUUGCAUCAGAAACUGUUGAACUUGAGUGCAGAAGAGGAGAGUGGAACUCCUGGUU